UUUUUCAAAACAUGUCCUUUUGCUUAAUUAAUAUAAGGUCUGACCUGCCCAAUGAUUAAUUUAAUUAAAUGGCCGCAGUAUUCUAACUGUGCGAAGGUAGCAUAAUCAUUUGUCCUUUAAUUGGGGACUUGUAUGAAUGGUCUGAUGAGGGAUUUUCUUUCUUUACUUUAUUAUUUAGAAUUUAAUAUAUGAGUCAAAAAGCUUAUAUGAUUUUAUGUGACGAGAAGACCCUAUAGAACUUAACCACUAUUAAUAGUGUAGUGAUAUUGUUUAUUAAUUUUUAACUCUAUUAUUAGAGGUUUUAUUGGGGCGAUAGUUAAAUUUCAUUAACUUUAAUUGAAUUUAAAUCAAUAAUUUUUGAUUAUAUAAUUGAUCCAGUAAUACUGAUUAUAAGACUAAGUUACCUUAGGGAUAACAGCGUAAUUCUGUUGGAGAGUUCAUAUUAAUAAUAGAGUUUGCGACCUCGAUGUUGGAUUAAAAUAAGUAUUAGGUGCAGAAGCUUAAUAACUAAGUCUGUUCGACUUUUAAAUUUUUACAUGUUGGGUUUUCA
rnacentral:rRNA from 1 species